CCUACGGGUGGCAGCAGUGAGGAAUAUUGGUCAAUGGGCGCUAGCCUGAACCAGCCAAGUAGCGUGAAUGAUGACUGCCCUACGGGUUGUAAACUUCUUUUAUAUGGGAAUAAAGUGCUGUAUGUAUACUUUUUUGUAUGUACUUUAUGAAUAAGGAUCGGCUAACUCCGUGCCAGCAGCCGCGGUAAUACGGAGGAUCCGAGCGUUAUCCGGAUUUAUUGGGUUUAAAGGGAGCGUAGACGGGUUGUUAAGUCAGUUGUGAAAGUUUGCGGCUCAACCGUAAAAUUGCAAUUGAUACUGGCAGCCUUGAGUACAGUAGAGGUAGGCGGAAUUCGUGGUGUAGCGGUGAAAUGCUUAGAUAUCACGAAGAACUCCGAUUGCGAAGGCAGCCUACUGGACUGCAACUGACGCUGAUGCUCGAAAGUGUGGGUAUCAAACAGGAUUAGAUACCCCAGUAGUC
rnacentral:rRNA from 1 species